UACGUAGGUGGCGAGCGUUGUCCGGAUUUACUGGGCGUAAAGAGCGCGCAGGCGGUCGUGCAAGUCGCGUGUGAAAGCCCCCGGCUCAACUGGGGAGGGUCACGCGAUACUGCUCGACUCGAAGGCAGGAGAGGGAAGUGGAAUUCCUGGUGUAGCGGUGAAAUGCGCAGAUAUCAGGAGGAACACCGGUGGCGAAGGCGGAUCUCUGGGCCAUUACUGACGCUGAGGAGCGAAAGCGUGGGGAGCGAACAGG
rnacentral:rRNA from 1 species